GGGAGGUCAAUUAAGGGUGUUUGGGAGGGGGUUCGCGCCUAUUUUUCAUUUCCCCGCCCUUGUGAGGUUUUCGCCCUUCUGUUUUCGUGGCUCGGCAGUCGUGUCCUAGACUUUCAAUUCUAAUCAUCGGACAAUUUACGCCCGGAUAGAGAAAAACGACUCUUCGACGAAAUGCCGGUUCUGAAAGGUUCCACAGAGGACGAUGAAAUAGAGAGGAUCACCUCUCGCAAGAAGCCCGACAGCCUCUUGAAGAGUGAGUAUUCUAUU